AGGCCAUUGCUAUCAGGGUUUGACUAGGCCAUGCGAGUCGAGAGGUGUAAGACCUCGGCAUACUGCUCAGUAACACGUGGUUAACCUGCCCUAAGGUGGAGAAUACUCCCGGGAAACUGGGGCUAAUGCUCCAUAGUGGAUACCUCCUGGAAUGGUAAAUCCUCGAAAGAUCCGUCGCCUUAGGAUGGGACUGCGUCCGAUUAGGUUGUUGGCGGGGUAACGGCCCACAAGCCUUUUAUCGGUACGGGUUGUGGGAGCAAGAUCCCGGAGAUGGAUUCUGAGACAUGAAUCCAGGCCCUACGGGGCGCAGCAGGCGCGCAAACUUUACAAUGCGAGCAAUCGUGAUAAGGAAACCCUGAGUGCCUGUCGAUGCAGGCUGUUCAUAUAUCUAAAUCAUAUGUGAAGAAAGGGCAGGGCAAGACCGGUGCCAGCCGCCGCGGUAAUACCGGCUGCUCGAGUGAUGGCCACUAUUACUGGGUUUAAAGCGUCCGUAGCUUGA
rnacentral:rRNA from 1 species